rnacentral:rRNA from 1 species
ACGCUGGCGGCAGUCUAACACAUGCAAGUCGAGCGGAAACGAGUUAUCUGAACCUUCGGGGAACGAUAACGGCGUCGAGCGGCGGACGGGUGAGUAAUGCCUAGGAAAUUGCCUUGAUGUGGGGGAUAACCAUUGGAAACGAUGGCUAAUACCGCAUAACGCCUACGGGCCAAAGAGGGGGACCUUCGGGCCUCUCGCGUCAAGAUAUGCCUAGGUGGGAUUAGCUAGUUGGUGAGGUAAUGGCUCACCAAGGCGACGAUCCCUAGCUGGUCUGAGAGGAUGAUCAGCCACACUGGAACUGAGACACGGUCCAGACUCCUACGGGAGGCAGCAGUGGGGAAUAUUGCACAAUGGGCGCAAGCCUGAUGCAGCCAUGCCGCGUGUAUGAAGAAGGCCUUCGGGUUGUAAAGUACUUUCAGCAGUGAGGAAGGGGGUGUCGUUAAUAGCGGCAUCUCUUGACGUUAGCUGCAGAAGAAGCACCGGCUAACUCCGUGCCAGCAGCCGCGGUAAUACGGAGGGUGCGAGCGUUAAUCGGAAUUACUGGGCGUAAAGCGCAUGCAGGUGGUUUGUUAAGUCAGAUGUGAAAGCCCGGGGCUCAACCUCGGAACUGCAUUUGAAACUGGCAAACUAGAGUACUGUAGAGGGGGGUAGAAUUUCAGGUGUACCGGUGAAAUGCGUAGAGAUCUGAAGGA